GAUGAACGCUGGCGGCGUGCCUAAUACAUGCAAGUCGAGCGAACGGACGAGAAGCUUGCUUCUCUGAUGUUAGCGGCGGACGGGUGAGUAACACGUGGAUAACCUACCUAUAAGACUGGGAUAACUUCGGGAAACCGUAGCUAAUACCGGAUAAUAUUUUGAACCGCAUGGUUCAAAAGUGAAAGACGGUCUUGCUGUCACUUAUAGAUGGAUCCGCGCUGCAUUAGCUAGUUGGUAAGGUAACGGCUUACCAAGGCAACGAUGCAUAGCCGACCUGAGAGGGUGAGUGGCCACACUGGAAGUGAGACGCGGUCCAGACUCCUACGGGAGGCAGCAGGAGGGAAUCUUCCGCAAAGGGCGAAAGCCUGACGGAGCAACGCCGCGUGAGUGAUGAAGGUCUUCGGAUCGUAAAACUCUGUUAUUAGGGAAGAACAGAUGUGUAAGUAACUGUGCACAUCUUGACGGUACCUAAUCAGAAAGCCACGGCUAACUACGU
rnacentral:rRNA from 1 species